UGUGAUGUAGACUGAUAAGUGCUUGGUCAGG
rnacentral:piRNA from 1 species